CUGCUUGACAAGAGGUUGAGAAGGUUGAGAGGUGUUUAGCCAAGAGAAAACAACGAGCAUUAAACACAAGCAUUUUUUUUAGCUAGUACUCCAUUCACAUAGUUCAUUGGUGCCAUGGCAGAUUUCUUCAUUUUCCCUCCUGAAAAUUUAACAUUUAUCUAAUAAUCUAUUGCUGUGUUUAAGUACUGUAUUUCACUGCACAAGGAGUAUACAUAAUUUUUUUACCUUUGUCUAACUGAAUUGACUAUUGAUUCAGUCCAUGUGCUCAGUUAUAGUGAGUUUUUCUAGACUUCUCAUAAGAUAAUUUGGAUCACCUUUUUUGAAAACUGGCAUCUACAGUAUACACAGGACUAAAAGCAUGUGUAGACAACAAAAGCAUUAAUCUAGACUGCCCAAACAUUUUAAUGUGGCUUUUUUUUGGUGCGGUGCAUUUUUGUUCGCAUGUCACGGCGUUCGUGUUUGCACGAAAGGUGCUUUCAAAUGAGUUAAGCCCCCAUGUGUCAUUUCCUCCAGAUUUCAGUAAGGGGAGUCAAAUACCAAUUUACGCCCUAGACUGGUCAAGUGGGGUGCAGUAAAGCUUUGAUGCCCACACCUCUGUAAUGUGCGACUCGAAAGAGGACAUGGUGACGUGCUACAUCCCUCCUUUGAUCCCCUUCCACUGCUAGCUGCAAGCUGAUCAAUUCCUGUUGGUAUGACAAGAGGCAGAAAGAGAAAGGAAGAAAGAGAAAAUGAAGAGCAUGACAACACUUCCUUCAGGAUUUAUUCUUUCAACAACUGAACUAUUAUGCAUUCUAAUCAUAAUUGACUUUCAUCCUGCCUGAUAUAGACUUAUAAUAACAGGUAAUACUAACAGUAGGAGGCAGCUAUUAAUUUCAGUAGUAAUAUAUUAAUAAGAUUUUAUAGUAAUAGUAAUAUUAAUGUUGAUUUGUUAAUGAUCAUUAAUUAUUGUAAAGGUUCAAUUCCUUCUCACAGCAUUUCAAAAUAGGUAGAUCUCCCUUAUUACCCUGCACACAUCACACACAGCCUGAGCCUCCACCAUGUAUGUGUAGCCAAUGUAUGAUAUAGACUUCUGUUUUAUAUACUUCUGUUAUAUAUAGAAUUACAGUUUGAUUAAUUACCAUGAGAAAGCAGAUACUGAGCAUAAGGCAGGUGAUUAUGCACCCACCCUCCCUGCCUCUUUCACCAUGGGGGGUGGGGGUGGGGGUGUGUGUGUGUGUGUGUGUGUGUGUGUGUGUGAAGGAAAUGCCCACCUCCUGAUUCCUAAACUUGUCUUACUUCCUUCUCCUGGUUGCUGCCCACAAGUACUGCUGAGGCUUUUCCUUUGUGUAAUACUUGAAUUGUGGAAGCUUUCUUUGCAGGCUUUGGCCUGCGCAUCAACUCGAGUAUGGUAAGAGUUGCACAAGUUCUGCAGGUCCAUUUCAUAUUAUUCUCGCCCUUCUCCUGCCUGGUGGCCCUGUUCAGCAUAGAUUUAAUAGAGUUCAUAGAUUUCUAGGGUUGGAAGGGACCUUGUACAUCAUCAAGUCUGACCCCCUGCUCUAGUCAGUCUAGUUAAAUAACCCCAGCUAGGUGCCUGUCUAAUCUGUUCUUGAACACCUGUAAGGUAGGGAAAAGCACCACCUCCCUUAGAAGCCCAUUCCAUAUUUUGGCAACCCUCACAUAAGGAAUUUUUUUCUGAUAUCCAAUCUUCUUUAGUUUGCAGCCAUUAUUUCUAGUAACCCCGAAGGGCACCCUAGUAAACAGAGUAUCCCGUAUUCCCUGCUGCCCCCCCAGGAUGAGUUUGUAGACAGCCACAAGAUCACCUCUCAGCCUUCUCUUGCGGAGGCUGAAGAGAUUCAGGUCCCUCAGUCUGUCUCCAUGGGAUCUUAUCCGCAGGUCCUCAACCAUUUGAGUAACCAUUCUCUGAACCCUCUCAAGGUUAUCCACAUCCCUCUUGAAGUGUGGCACCCAAAACUGGACACGCUACUCCAGCUGUGGCUUGACCAAUGCUGCAUAGAGGGGAAGUAUCACCUCUCUAGACCUGCUCAUGAUGCACCUAGUAAUGCAAGGAGUGCAGUUAGCCUUACUUAUUACCUCGUCACAUUGGCGACUCAUAUUCAUUUUUGCAUUGACCAAGACUCUGAGAUCCCUUUCCACUGCCAUGGUACUCAGACUGGCACUUCCCAGUCUAUAGGUGUAUUGGAGAUUCUUUCUCCCUAAGUGCAGCACCUUGUAACUUGUCCUUGUUAAAUUGCGGAGCUUUUAAAUGACUUCUUUGCAUCUGUGUUCCUGGACAUGGAUACAAACAUGCUUCCCAAUAAGACUUUAGUCUGGUGUGAGACUAAAGGACCUCUACAGAAUGGUCUAGAGCAACUAAAGCAAGCUGUUCUUGGGGGCUAUGACCACUGCAUUGGCAGAGGGCUCAGGUCGCAGGGGGUGCCUUCCACUAAAGAAGUUUGAGUUUUAACUCUGAAUUGUGGAGGCCUUCUUAGGCCUUCUUGGUUGCUGUCCAAGACCUCUGCAGUAUGGGUAGUAGACUCUUCGCCCCACUUACCCUCUGCCUUACACCUCAGCAACCAAGCAGAUACAUCCUGAACUGACCUCUCUCCAUUGCACCCUUGUAAAAAACCUGCCUGCUUCUCACCCAGAAGCCAAGGCUUCUUCACAUGCUUUGGCACAAGCAUCAGCACUUGCCCUAGGUCUUACACCUCUCUGUUGCAUCCUUGGAACUUUGCUGUCGGUGGUGGCCACAAAGCCUUCUUCUUGGUUGCUGGCCAAGACCUCUGUGGUCCGAGUAUUAGGCUCUUCACCCCACUUGCCUCUGCCUUACACCUCUGGCCUUCCUCCUGGUUAGCUCUGACCACUGCAGUGGAAAAAGCUGAGGCUUUCUUCCACUAAGGAAGCUGAUGAGGCUUGAGUUUCUCCUCUGAAUCGCGGACGUUUUCUUCUUGGUUGCUGGCCAAGACCUCCAUGGUCCAAAUUGUAGGCUCCUCACCCACCUUGUUCUCUACAUUACACCUCUCCGUUUCAGCCUUGUAUCUCUGGAGUCGCUGCUGGCCAAAAAGCAAGAUGUGAUUGUGAGCUAUGACCACUGCAGUGGCAGAGGGCUCAGGUUGCAGGGGGUGCCUUCCACUAAGGAAGCUGUGGUUUGAGUUUCUCCUCUGAAUUGCGGAGGCCUUUUUCUUGGUUGCUUUGCUUGCUUUCUGUCUUACACCUCUCACCCUCCUCCUGGUUAGCUUUGACCACUGCAGUGGCAGAAGCUGAGGCUGUUUCACUGGCUUUGGCCUGAGCAUCAGCUUGAUUUGCACAAGUACUGCAGGCCCACUUCAUAUAGUUUUGUUGCCCUCCACCUGGUUACUGGCCAUGUACCAGCAAAUUUGGAUUGGGGUACAUGUCUUCUGACACCCACCCACUACUCUGUCUCCUUGAGGGAGGUUUCUAUAUUUUAAUAAGGAGAUUUUAAAUACAUUUUAAAUAAAAAAGGAAAUUUUAAAUAAAUAAAUAAUAAUAGAAAGUCCCCCCCACCUCUCCAGAGGAGGGUACAUGGGCGGGCAGGAAGACAGGAGUGUAUAUGGGUGGCGAGGGGAUAGGACAUACACUAUAGGUAGUGUGGGGGCCCAAAGAUUAAGAGGGGUAGAAAAUUAACAUAUUAUUUCUCUCCCCUGCCUAUGCCUCCCUCCAUCCCUCUCCCUGACCCACAUAAGCUUUGUGCCCAGCAAAGAUUCCAAAGCUACAAAGUGACAUGUAGAGUGAGUAGCAUGGCCUGACUCAGCCAGCCAGCUGAGUUGGUCCAUUCAUCUGCACUUGAGGGGGCCCCAAACAUGCCUGGGAGCCCCCACCUGAGGGGGUCCCCUUUGGGACCAUGGCUGGGGCUCCUCCUUGACCCAGCCACAUUCCUGCUGGGACAUAGUAACCAGGAAGGGGGUGCAGGAUGCCUCCCUCCCUUUGCCUCUCUCCCCCACCCACCCAUCUGGGGGCCCCCUCCAUAAGCUUUGUUCCCAGCAAAGAUUCCAAAGCUACAAUGCAAUGGAGAACAGCAUGCCUGCCUAACUAAGUUUUGUGGUUGGGUUUGCUUUCUUUCUUGCAAGAAAAUGCUGUUUGUGCCUGGUUCUGAAAUGGAAUGUGAUGAAGUUCAGAAGAUUUGCAAUAUUGAAGGAAGUCAUGUAACCACUCACUCCAAAGUUUCAAACUCAGCCGUCUUCCUGCUGGGACAUGUUCAGGAACUGGGAAGGGGGUGCAGGAAGCCCCACCCACCUGGGGUCUCCCUCCCUCUCUCCCUCCAUCCCUGAGCUUUGUUCCCAAUGAAGAUUCCAAAGUUACAAAGUGACACGGAGAGAGUGGCAUGGCCCAACUCAGCCAGCCAGUCAAGUUGGGUCAUUCGUCUCCACCUGAGGGGGGCCCCAACCAUGCCUGGGGGCCCCCACCUGAGGGGGCCCCUAGGGGACCAUGCCUGGGGGCCCCUCCCUAACUAAGCUUUGUGGGUGGGUUUCUUUCUUGCAAGAAAAUGCUAGCAGACUAGUACUGGCCAAGCAUUUGACCUCCCUCCAUCUGAAAACAGUCCAUCCUGCAACUUUCCAGUAAUGCCAUGACUCCAUAAAAGUUGCACAGUCAUCAGUAACCAGGAAGGGUCAAUAACCAGGCUGGCUGGCUGCCUGCCUCCCUCCAUUCCUCCCUCUUGCCCUCCCACCAUGCAGCCCUCCAUUCAUCCAUAUCAUAUCAAGGGAUUACUCAAGAGACAUGGGAGCAUAUUGUGAAUUGGUGUUUUAUCCUAUUGUCUUGCAUUUGCUGGCAAUGGCUGUAGUGUAAAAAAAUGUAUUCAGCAGUUGACUACCAACAGCAUUGUUGAGUAAAAAAAAAAGUCUGUACUAUUUUAGCUUUAUUGUAGUUUCUCAAUGGAAUGGAUUGCAAUUCAAUUUAUUGUGAAAAAAAUUAAGAUGUGGAACAAAA